CCUCCUCAUCAGCAGGUACUCCUCGAUGUAGUUGAUGAAGAUGUCGAACUCCCCCAUGGCUUUGUAGAUCCCGUUCUCAUCCAUCUGCAGGUGAAAGGCAGCCCGUGAUUCAUCGGCUGCACGCGCGGUGCAGAAUCCCCAGCCGUGCUCUGCUUCCACCGAAACCUCCGCUCUCUCCCCACCCACUGAAGGAACGCGGCGGCUGCUCUGAGCUGAGCUGCGCUGCGUCGGCACAUCUUUGGCACCCUCUGAGUGAAGAAGCGGUGCUGCAGAGGUGAGAGGCGGUGCGUUAACUCAGGGCUGUUCCUUCCUGCUGCUCCUGGGGUGACUCAGCCCAUGCUGCGUGGUCACAGCAGCUCCAGCAGUGAGGAUGCCAGUGCAUGCAGGAAGACCCAGGGACCAUUCCUGCAGUACAGAGCCCACUCACACAGCGCCUCAUCGUCGUCUUCAGGUUCAGCAGCAUGCUGCCCAGGUCGCCCAUGCUCUGCUGGUGGCUGGUGCUGGUCUUCAUGGCGCGGGGCAGAACCUCAUCUGUGUAGAAGCGCAGCAUCUCUGACACUGACUGGCAGCCAAAGUUCCCCUGGAGGGGAGGAGAGAGUAUGCUGAUGGCAAUGCUUUUGCAAUCUGAACCCCAGCAGCACUGCUCAGAGGCUGGGGAUGAGUGUGCAUCAGCCCUGCUGCAGGCACCUUGCUGGAAGGAAGGUCCAUGUGACAGUGGGAAAUAUCCCGAAUUAGGAUCAUUUUCCUUUGGUGGAAGGAUGCAGAAGGGCAGUGGACUUGCACUGAAAUAGUAAUCCUUACCUUAAAUUCAUCCAGCAGUUCAGAGCUGAGCAGUUGGAUGUUAAGUUCGUCGUCUCUGGAUUGCUGUAGGAGAAUGCAAUAGAAGAAGUGCUUUAUGCAGGCAGCUGUGUUUUCCUCUUUGCCUCUUUCGAGGAUUGCUCUGCCUGCUUGCAUUUAUGCUUUAACCCCACUGCUGGCAUCCCUUGAGUCCCCUUUUGCAGGGGCUAUCUGUUCCUCCAACUCCUGAGCCCAGGCUGAGCUGAUGCUGCGCAGAGCAUCACCCCAUGGCACCAAAGUGCUCAACAGCUUUUCUGAGAGGUAAGAAACUUUCAUUCCUGAUAUUAAUUGAAAGACUUGCAGCAGGCUUGAAGUCUUAAAUCCCACUGAUCGUGUUAAUUUAAUAACUAAUACAAGCCAUGCCACUCAUCUGGCUUUUAAUCCGGAGAGUUAUGUUCCCUUAUUGCUAAAGCAUGCUGGCAAUAGCUGAAGGAGGAACCCUGGGGUGAGCACCCAUCCCUGCGGCCCCGCAGCACCAGUGGGUGCUCAGUGCUGCUCUGUAUGCAAAGCACUGAGAUUUGUCACAAGGCAAUCACUCAGGCUUCUGUGGCUCUGUCAGAGAAAGUCUGUAGCAAAAGGUUUCCCUUUUCAGACAGUGCUGGCUUCAGUGAGGCUGGAGCUCAUUGCCCUGAAGAAUUUAAUCCCUUGCUGCUAAGUCAGUGCAUGAUUUGCUCUGCAACUUUUAGGGGGAAGUCUGCACAAUAAGGCUUGCAUUAUGAAAUCUCUGGAGUUCAUUAUAACUAAAACCAGGAAGAAAAGCCUUUCGUGUUAUCUCUCAGCAAGCAGUGAAACCAGAGGGCAGCCCAUAGCGCAGCACACGGCCAAAUCUCUUCUGCCCGGAGCAACCUGCUGCCCCCUCAUCCAAACCACUCAACUCUGCAAAAUAACCCCACGAAACAGAAGGAGGUGUCAUACUUACAAAAUAGUCCUUGAUUUCCUCAAACUUCACCCUCAGCUCCCGCAGCCGGAUGGGCAGCAGCUCGGAGGAGUGCAGGCAGGUGGACUCCAAGCAGUGGGCAGGCAGGGUGCAAGCAGCCAGCAGCAGCAGCAGGGCCUGGCAGCAGUUCUGCAUCCUGGGGUGUUUAUUCUGCUGCUGCCCUUGGUUGGGUGCCACUGGAGGGCAAAGCACAGCUCUGCAGACUUCACCUUGAUGGAGCCCCUCAUUUAUACUCUCAAAGCAUCUCAGUUUCCUUUCCCCGCUUCCUGAAGAGUGAUAUUAAGGGUAUAAGUCACUCACUCAAUAAACCCAAAUGUCACUUGGGUUUCCCGUCAACUUUGGGUUUCCUGUUCUCUUGACCCCCCUCCCCUCCUCACUACCCAUCAAAUCUUUUGUGCUUAGACUCUGCAUUUUUUUUUCUAUUGCUUGCUUCUUGUAAAUUUAAAUGAGGCGACAGAUACAAAGCGAAGAAGGAAAGGUGCUGUGUGAGCUCACAUCUGCAUUUCACAGCCACUUUUUAUUUUUAGAAGAAUGCUCUGCUCUCGGGGGAAGAAGUGUUUCUAUAUUUAAGUCUCUCUACAGGUUGACACCUCUGAUCCCCAGCACUGAGCAUCACCCAGCAGCACUGCGUUCAGUGAACCUGUCCAGGUGCUCCUCACUCCAGCAUUGCUCUUCCCCAACCUGCUCACACACUGUCACCUCCUUUAGCACUGUGAUGCAAGCAUGCAACACUCUGAAUCUUUCUUUCUUUUUCUUUUUAAUGGAGUUAAAACAAAGUCAGUGUGAUGCUCCAGCUCUCAGCCGAUGUUUUACCCAGGCAUUACCACGGUCAGCCCUGUGCACAGCGCAUGGAGACACAAUGGGGACUUGGGCUUCUGGUGUCAGUUCUGCAUGCUUCCCUGCUAGUAAUGAUAGCAACUAUCACUUUCUUGAAGUGUUUCCUAGCAGCACGUGCUGAGUUUUAUUGCACUGUAUCAUGGGACCCACUCUUUGCACAUUGAUGUGCUCUGCUCACGUGUCCAAGCUGAACACGAAACCUUUUCUUUCUUGUUCUUGCAUGCAAUUUUGUUUCCAAGAAAUGGACAACAAUCCCAGCUGAGCCCCCAGCUCCAUGAACCGGGUGUGCUCUCCUCCCCACUGAUAAAAGUGACCAUUGCAGUGCUGAAGAUAUCUCCACUGACGUCUCUCUUCCGUUUUCCUUUCUUUCAUGCUCUCUUUCUGCACAACUUUAUACUUGUUUCCUUUUGGUGAUAAGGCUGUUAUCCAAGAAAGAGAAAGCAGAGAUUAACUUGGCCUUUCUGGGGGCUUCUUUGAAAGCUUUUCUGCUAUCUGGAAGUGGCAUUCUCUUCAUGCUGCCUCCAGCUUAUUGCCUGGGACAAAUCACUCCAAUUCUCAUUUCUUUCACUGCCCUGAGCCUCCUUCAGUGUGAAUUUGCAGACCUCUGUGAAGGAGCGUGUUACAACUGACGCUGGAAAAAUGCAAAGCAUUCCUUAUACCAUAUAUUUAGAUUUCAUUUAGAAAAUGAAAGAGAGGAAAGUUUUGUGUUAGAACAUGCAUGAGUAAGGGCAGAUGAAUUAUGUAUUUGUAAUCAGGUGAGGUAACUUCUCUAAACACAGCACUGAGGGGUUUUGCCUGGUUUGUUUUCCUUCUGUUGGUGUUGCACCUUUCCCAAGGGCCGGGAGGGAGAGUUUUCCCAGUGAAUCACUGCAUGGGCACAGAACUUCUAUCUGAAUCAGAGCACGUCAUGGGGACCGUGCCCUGCUUUUCUUCCCCUGUUUGCGUGCCUCGGCGCGGUUUCUUCCCUUGACCACCAGCAAUGAGGUUUGGAGGCCAUGAGGAAGGAGAAGGGCAGCAGCUGACUCAGACCAAAAUGUGUGGUGUUAAACAUAACCCGUGUCACUGGUGCUGUCUCACAGCUCUGUGCUUUCACCCCAAGCUGCAAGAUCUUAUUUUGCAUCCACUCCAAGCUGCCUCAGGUUGGUAGAGCCGUGCAAGCAGGACCCGGUGGCCUCUGAGUUCCAUGGGGAAACCAAAAAAACAAAACCUGACGUGGCAGCACCUGGAUCUCACCCCGUUCUCUGCGUAUGCGCAGCUGGGGCCAAAGCGGUGAUUUCAAGCCCCCUGGGUCGGUGCAGUUUGGGGAACCCUGCUUGCAGACCGGGCCACGC